rnacentral:rRNA from 1 species
GACGAACACUGGCGGAGUGCCUAAUACAUGCAAGUAGAACGCAGUUGCGAACGGGGGAGUCAAGCAUAGGUAACUGCCUGGUCGCGGGGGAGAACUAUUGGGAACGAUAGCUACUACCGCAUACUACGAGAUGGACCUGCGUUGUAUUCGCUAGUUGGUGAGGUAACGGCUCACCAAGGCAACGAUACAUAGCCGACCGUAGAGGGUGAUACGCCACACUGUGACUUAUACACGGCACAGACUCCUACGGGAGGCUGCAGUAGGGAAUCGUCGGCAAUGGGGCGAACCCGGACCGAGCAACGCCGCGUGAGUGAAGAAGGGUUUCGGAUCGUAAAGCUCUGUUGUUAAGGAAGCGGUACUUAACCAGAAAGGGACGGCUAACUACGUGCCAGCAGCCGCGGUAAUAC